rnacentral:rRNA from 1 species
UACAGAGGUCCCAAGCGUUGUUCGGAUUCACUGGGCGUAAAGGGUGCGUAGGCGGUCGGGUAAGUCUGAUGUGAAAUCUCACAGCUUAACUGUGAAACUGCAUUGGAUACUAUCCGGCUAGAGGAAUGGAGGGGAGACUGGAAUACUUGGUGUAGCAGUGAAAUGCGUAGAUAUCAAGUGGAACACCAGUGGCGAAGGCGAGUCUCUGGACAUUUCCUGACGCUGAGGCACGAAAGCCAGGGGAGCAAACGGU